rnacentral:rRNA from 1 species
UCGAGAAUCAUUCGCAAUGGGCGAAAGCCUGACGAUGCGACGCCGUGUGAGCGAUGAAGGCCUUUGGGUCGUAAAGCUCUUUCGCUUGGGAACAAGAGAGGCCUAUUAAUACUAGGCUCAUUUGAGGGUACCAGGUAAAGAAGCACCGGCUAACUCCGUGCCAGCAGCUGCGGUAAUACGGAGGGUGCAAGCAUUAAUCGGAUUUAUUGGGCGUAAAGGGCGCGUAGGCGGGAAUGUAAGUCGAAUGUUAAAGAUCGGGGCUCAACCUCGAAAAAGCAUUGGAUACUGCGUUUCUAGAGGGUAGACGGAGAAAAUAGAAUUCCACAAGUAGCGGUGAAAUGCGUAGAUAUGUGGAGGAAUACCGGUGGCGAAGGCGGUUUUCUAGUUUAUACCUGACGCUGAGGCGCGAAAGCAAGGGGAGCAAACAGG